rnacentral:rRNA from 1 species
AUUCCGCUGAAUUUAAGCAUAUAAGUAAGUGGUGGAAAUUAAACCAACUGGGAUCUCUUCAGUAAUUGCGCAUGAACCAGGAUAUGCUUAGCUUGACAAAUGGAGCUGCUGGCUCUGAAUUGUAUUGUGGGAAUGUAUUACCAACAGAGGUGCAGGUCACACUCCUUGGCAUUGGAAUGCAAAGUGGGUGGUAAGUUUCAUGCAAAGGUAAAUAUGCAAUUGAGACUGAUAGCGCACAAGUACCAUGAGGGACAUAUGAAAAGGACUUUGAAAAGAGAAUUAAAUGAGUUUGUAGUUGCUAAACACAAAGUAAACAGACUUGAUUUCCUCAGUGAGAUUGUAGUGCUUGCUUAACAAUGGGUUUUGGCUGCAAGUGCAAUAAUUCUUGCUUUGUGUGCCCGUUUUUAUGUGGACAUUUGAUUACCUUGGCACAUGAAUGGUAAUUUUCCUGCGGGGUGUGGAUUGCAUAUGCAUGUAAUGAUUUGCAUGUUUGUUAAAUGUGUCUGGUGUAUUUGUUUGUGUCCUUGUCCUUGAGGUUGCUUUCUCCCUUGGGCUUACAUGCCCUGGCACACACAUUCUGGCAAAAUGCUUCUGCUUGACCCGUCUUGAAU